UCCGCGAUAGCUCAGCGGUAGAGCAUCCGACUGUUAAUCGGACGGUCGCUGGUUCGAAUCCAGCUCGCGGAGCCA
rnacentral:tRNA from 1 species